rnacentral:rRNA from 1 species
GGUGGAUGCCUUGGCAGUUAGAGGCGAUGAAGGACGUGUUAAUCUGCGAUAAGCGUUGGUAAGGUGAUAAAAACCGUCAUAGCCAACGAUUUCCGAAUGGGGAAACCCACUUAGCAUAAGCUAGGUAUCAUUAACUGAAUACAUAGGUUAAUGAGGCAAACCGGGAGAACUGAAACAUCUAAGUACCCCGAGGAAAAGAAAUCAACCGAGAUUUCGUUAGUAGCGGCGAGCGAACGCGAAUCAGCCCUUAAGCUUAUUGGGCGCUAGUGGAAUGUUCUGGAAAGGACAACGAUACAGGGUGAUAGUCCCGUACACUAAAGCAACCUUUAAGUGAAAUCGAGUAGGACGGAGCACGUGAAACUUUGUCUGAAUAUGGGGGGACCAUCCUCCAAGGCUAAAUACUACUGACUGACCGAUAGUGAACCAGUACCGUGAGGGAAAGGCGAAAAGAACCCCUGUGAGGGGAGUGAAAUAGAACCUGAAACCGUAUACGUACAAGCAGUAGGAGCAGACUUGUUCUGUGACUGCGUACCUUUUGUAUAAUGGGUCAGCGACUUAAUGUCAGUAGCAAGGUUAACCGUAUAGGGGAGCCGAAGGGAAACCGAGUCUUAACCGGGCGUUAAGUUGCAGGGUAUAGACCCGAAACCCGGCGAUCUACCCAUGGGCAGGUUGAAGGUUGAGUAACAUCAACUGGAGGACCGAACCCACUAACUUUGAAAAGUUAGGGGAUGACCUGUGGCUGGGGGUGAAAGGCCAAUCAAACCGGGAGAUAGCUGGUUCUCCCCGAAAUCUAUUUAGGUAGAGCCUCGCACGAACACCAUUGGGGGUAGAGCACUGUUAAGGCUAGGGGGUCAUCCCGACUUACCAACCCUUUGCAAACUCCGAAUACCAAUGAGUGAUAUGCGGGAGACACACUACGGGUGCUAACGUCCGUUGUGAAGAGGGAAACAACCCAGACCGCCAGCUAAGGUCCCAAAGUACUAGUUAAGUGGGAAACGAUGUGGAAAGGCAUAGACAGCUAGGAGGUUGGCUUAGAAGCAGCCAUCCUUUAAAGAAAGCGUAAUAGCUCACUAGUCGAGUCGGCCUGCGCGGAAGAUGUAACGGGGCUAAACUAGUCACCGAAGCUGCGGAUUUGAACUUAGGUUCAAGUGGUAGGGGAGCGUUCUGUAAGCCGUUGAAGGUGAAUUGAGAAGUUUGCUGGAGGUAUCAGAAGUGCGAAUGCUGACAUGAGUAACGAUAAUGGGGGUGAAAAACCCCCACGCCGGAAGACCAAGGUUUCCUGUCCCAUGCUAAUCAGGGCAGGGUUAGUCGGCCCCUAAGGCGAGGCAGAAAUGCGUAGUCGAUGGGAAACGGAUUAAUAUUUCCGUACUUGGUAUAUCAGUGAAGGGGGGACGGAGAAGGUUAUGCAAGCCUGGCGUUGGUUGUCCAGGUGAAAGUGCGUAGAGUUGUUUCUUAGGCAAAUCCGGGAAACUACAUGCUCGAGACACGAGACGAGACUCCAAGGAGUUGAAGUUGCAAAUACCAUGCUUCCAGGAAAAGCCUCUAAACUUAUGAUAUAUCGAACCGUACCCCAAACCGACACAGGUGGUCAGGUAGAGAAUACUAAGGCGCUUGAGAGAACUUGGGUGAAGGAACUCGGCAAAAUCGUACCGUAACUUCGGGAGAAGGUACGCCCCUGUUUGUGAUUGAACUUGCUUCAUGAGCGAAUGGGGGCCGCAGUGAAAUGGUGGCUGGAACUGUUUAUUAAAAACACAGCA